rnacentral:misc_RNA from 1 species
CAGAGUUGCAAAACUCCCUAAACCAUCGCGAACGUUACCUUUACCGUUGCUUCGGCGGGGGGCUCCAGGGCGGAGCCGCAGCCCUCACGGGCGCCCGCCGGCGGCACUACAAACUCUUGUAUUUCUUACUUUGCAUGUCUGAGUGGAAUCAUAAACAAAUGAAUCA